rnacentral:siRNA from 1 species
AGAGUGUCAAGGAUCACGUCACUC